rnacentral:rRNA from 1 species
GGGGGCACCCUGGUGGCGAGUGGCGAACGGGUGAGUAAUACAUCGGAACGUGCCCAGUCGUGGGGGACAACUACGCGAAAGCGUAGCUAAUACCGCAUACGAUCUACGGAUGAAAGCGGGGGAUCGCAAGACCUCGCGCGAUUGGAGCGGCCGAUGGCAGAUUAGGUAGUUGGUGGGGUAAAGGCCUACCAAGCCGACGAUCUGUAGCUGGUCUGAGAGGACGACCAGCCACACUGGGACUGAGACACGGCCCAGACUCCUACGGGAGGCAGCAGUGGGGAAUUUUGGACAAUGGGCGCAAGCCUGAUCCAGCCAUUCCGCGUGCAGGAUGAAGGCCCUCGGGUUGUAAACUGCUUUUGUACGGAACGAAACGGUGCUCGUUAAUACCGAGCGCUAAUGACGGUACCGUAAGAAUAAGCACCGGCUAACUACGUGCCAGCAGUCGCGGUAAUACGUAGGGUGCGAGCGUUAAUCGGAAUUACCGGGCGUAAAGCGUGCGCAGGCGGUGAUGUAAGACAGAUGUGAAAUCCCCGGGCUCAACCUGGGAACUGCAUUUGUGACUGCAUCGCUGGAGUGCGGCAGAGGGGGAUGGAAUUCC